CACGACUCCUAUGGACCAACUUAUCACCGUAGUGCUCCCGCAUCUCAGUAUCAGUUUUACCUCAGUUACUUUUCUCAUUGCUCUGAGAAAUCAAAGAAAAUUUAAUACAAGAAUUCAGCAGAAUCUAGUAAAAGAAAUUCUAGUAGUCCAGCCUGUGGGCCGGCGGUACGCACGUUCAGGAGGUGUCAGCUUCCUCAGUUAAACCUCGCUGGAAACAUCUUCACAGACAGUGAUGAGCCUCCUAGAUGACUCUAAAUCCACUUGAGUUGGCAAUGAAGAUUAUCC
rnacentral:lncRNA from 1 species